GUCCAUCCCAGUGCCAGCCCGGCCCCUUUAGACUAGCCCCUGUGGACACAGGUUACAGACCUACCUUAGCACCAGGCCAGUCCCUGUAGCCCUAGGAUCAAACAGACUCAGAUUCCAGGCCUAUGCCACCAACCUAAGCUUCAGGCUUAACCCCAUGUACCGAAGGCCAAGACCUUCUCCUUUAGACUUGGGCUCCAGGCCUACCACCUAGCACCCAGGUAACAAGCCUUUCUCAGUGCCAGGUUGGCUGUGGUGGACCUUAGUCUUUUAGACUGGCCCCUAUAGAUUUUGGCUCUAGGCCUCACCAUGUAGUAUCAAUAAACAGGCCCACCCCAAUGGACUAGCAUCAGGUUGGCCUCCACAGACCCAAAUUUAAGUCCACCCUAUAGACCAGAGUUACAUGCCUGGCCAUGGAACCAUGCACGUGGCCAAUCUAAGUGAACCCAGAUACCAGUCCAACCUGCUUGAGGACUUUAGUACCAUGAUUGCCAACAGACCUUACUAGAAGACCCACCCAGAAUAUCUAGACUGUCUGGUGAAGGAGUUUUCCUGCCAAAGCCAGUAUCUAAAGACUGGAAGAAGGACCUACUUCUUCGGAUGGGCAGACACCAAUACAAAGUCACAUGGAUCAUGGCUAGUUGGAAAACAUGACCCCACCAAAAGAACAAAUAAGUGCCAGCAACCACCCUACAAAAAGUUAGAUCUAUAAACUACCUGAUGAAAAGUUCAAAAUAAUCAUCUCCAGGAACAUAAGUGAGAUACAACAGAACACAGAGAGACAGC
rnacentral:lncRNA from 1 species